GAAAAAAACAACAAGGGCAGAAUCACUCUAUACAAAAUAUUUAACUUGCCAGAGGGUUACAACUUACAACCUCACACUCCACUAUCCCCCAAUACCAAGUGAUUUCCUCUAGUAAAAACAUUAGUAUAACAGCCAACUAUGGCUUGUUGUCAAAGACCAUUUGGAGGCCUAUAUACUCUAUAGCCAUUUACACUACCAGAAGACAUGUUUGAGUAGUCAGGGGCGUUAUACCGGUUACUGGGAUCGUUUUCUGCAGUCCUUAUUCCACGAAAAGAUGGAUCAGAACUCAUCAUUUGCCACUGGUUUGGUGCUGAGCUAUCAAUCUGCCCACUUAUAAAUCGUGGAUUAGGCUGACGAAUCAUAUCGCUUGCACUGUCUAAAGGGCCUUCAUAAAACUUAUGCUGGAUGUCAUCAUGAUAACUCCGUGUUUGC
rnacentral:misc_RNA from 1 species